rnacentral:rRNA from 1 species
GACAGAGGGGGCAAGCGUUGCUCGGAAUUACUGGGCGUAAAGGGCGCGUAGGCGGGAUGGCAAGUCGGUCGUGAAAUCCCUCGGCUCAACUGAGGAUCGUCGAUCGAUACUGCCGUUCUUGAGGAUUGCAGAGGAGACUGGAAUUCCCGGUGUAGCGGUGAAAUGUGUAGAGAUCGGGAGGAACACCGGUGGCGAAGGCGGGUCUCUGGACAGUUCCUGACGCUGAGGCACGAAGGUCAGGGGAGCAAACGGG